CUCUUAUCAACGCUCUAAACCCAAAGGCCCAAACCCAUAGUGAAUGCCAUUCCAGACCACCCUUCUCCAAUGUCUCGCUUAAUUGGAACUGCUCAGAGUACACUCGUCUCUUCUCCUUCUUCGUUCCCAUUUCGUGGACUCCAAUGCCACAAUCACCAUUGUUCCCUUCCCCAACGGCGAAUUGCUAUUCCGUUUAAUGACUCUGAAGACAUUAAACUUGUGGAGGACAUUCAAUGACUCUGAAGACAUUAAACUUUAAGCGACAAUGUUUGAUGGGUAUGAAUCCGUUCCGAAUUCCGGAGAAGAUAGCUCAGGGAAAGAUGUGUGCUUUCACAUUAGCGUGCUUGUUGAGAUCUCUAAGAGGGUGGCGGCGAUGCAUUGGAGUUUAUGUGCUUGGCAUGGCCUGAUUGUUUAGAUAUUCAGAAAGCUUACUUACUUUUAGUCGUGGCAGUAUGCUGUCUAGGCCUUACACGGGACCUGAUUUUAUGAAUUUGAAUCCCGAGCUUCAGCAGAGAUUUCGGGAGUUCUUGGAGGCAAGGGGGGUAAAUGACAAACUUUCUGUUUUCUUGCAUGAAUAUAUGAUGAACAAGGAUUGAAUCGAACUUAUCCAAUGGUUUGGAAAGGUCAAGUUUUUCGUAGAAAAAUAGAGGGAUUUUUUUUACAGUGCAUUCUAUGAAACUGGUUGUUAAAGGAUUUGAUUCGAUGAAACUAGGGAUUACGCAAUGUCUAGCUAAUUUAAAGUGAAAUAUAAUAUGCCAAUUGUUGAA